UAGGGAAUCUUCCGCAAUGGACGCAAGUCUGACGGAGCAACGCCGCGUGAGUGAAGAAGGAUUUCGGUUCGUAAAACUCUGUUGUUAGAGAAGAACAGCGCAUAGAGUAACUGUUAUGCGUGUGACGGUAUCUAACCAGAAAGCCACGGCUCACUACGUGCCAGCAGCCGCGGUAAUACGUAGGUGGCAAGCGUUGUCCGGAUUUAUUGGGCGUAAAGCGAGCGCAGGCGGUCAAUUAAGUCUGAUGUGAAAGCCCCCGGCUCAACCGGGGAGGGUCAUUGGAAACUGGUUGACUUGAGUGCAGAAGAGGAGAGUGGAAUUCCAUGUGUAGCGGUGAAAUGCGUAGAUAUAUGGAGGAACACCAGUGGCGAAGGCGACUCUCUGGUCUGUAACUGACGCUGAGGCUCGAAAGCGUGGGUAGCAAACAGG
rnacentral:rRNA from 1 species